rnacentral:rRNA from 1 species
GGACCCUACGGGAGGUAGCAGUGAGGAAUAUUGGUCAAUGGGAGAGAUCCUGAACCAGCCAAGCCGCGUGAGGGAAGACGGCCCUAUGGGUUGUAAACCUCUUUUGUCGGAGAACAAAACCCGGGACGUGUCCCGGACUGCGUGUAUCCGAAGAAAAAGCAUCGGGUAACUCCGUGCCCGCAGCCGCGGUAAUACGGAGGAUGCGAGCGUUAUCCGGAUUUAUUGGGUUUAAAGGGUGCGUAGGCGGUCCGUUAAGUCAGCGGUAAAAUUGCGGGGCUCAACCCCUCCGAGCCGUUGAAACUGGG